AGUGAACGCUGGCGGUAGGCCUAACACAUGCAAGUCGAACGGCAGCACGGUAAGAGCUUGCUCUUACGGGUGGCGAGUGGCGGACGGGUGAGGCAUACAUCGGAAUCUACUUUUUCGUGGGGGAUAACGUAGGGAAACUUACGCUAAUACCGCAUACGACCUACGGGUGAAAGCAGGGGAUCUUCGGACCUUGCGCGCUUGACUGAGCCGAUGUCGGAUUAGCUAGUUGGCGGGGUAAAGGCCCACCAAGGCGACGAUCCGUAGCUGGUCUGAGAGGAUGAUCAGCCACACUGGAACUGAGACACGGUCCAGACUCCUACGGGAGGCAGCAGUGGGGAAUAUUGGACAAUGGGCGCAAGCCUGAUCCAGCCAUACCGCGUGGGUGAAGAAGGCCUUCGGGUUGUAAAGCCCUUUUGUUGGGAAAGAAAAGCAGCAGGUUAAUACCCCGCUGUUCUGACGGUACCCAAAGAAUAAGCACCGGCUAACUUCGUG
rnacentral:rRNA from 1 species